GUGAAUGCACCAAUUUGUAAGUCGCUCUGGAUAAGAGCUAAAUUACUUAAAUGUUAAAUGUUAAUGAUCAUGCUGAGUCUGACAGCACAGUGGGUCGUCAAGGAUUUGCUACUGAGGAAAGUCGUAUUGCAUGCUCGUGAAUGUGCUGGUUCUCAUACCGCUGCUGCCAUUUCAAUGGCAUUUGAGAACAUGUUUGAACAUGUUUGAAAGUUGGAAACAUGAACACACUAGCUAGCUCCAUUCAAUCAACUGACUUGAGAAAUAAGCUCAUCAACUGCGCCUGCAGCAGACGUGAUACUCUCUGUCAUGGUAUUGAAAUGCCUGCUCAACAAAGCGAUUCGGUACCAUUCUCUCUUUACUGUGUCGCCACCAUGCUCAAUGCUAUGUACAAGGACCGCUACUUCGAUGCAGACAAGAAACAGGGUUUAUAUGAAAUGUUACAUACACGGCUGAACAAGAUGGAAACAGACACAGUGACAGUGCGCACCGAGGAAGAGAGGCCACGGACAGACAGAGUUAAAACUUCACUGGUUGACAUGUAUGAUGAAAUCCUUGUUAAAAAUGAAAUGACGGAACAAAUGAACAACGAAACAGCACAGCAAAACCUGAGCCCUAGGACCAUACGUCAGGACUACCGGGCAUGCUGACACCUUGCUGUCCCCAGUCCGCCCGGCCUUGCUGUUAUUCCAGUUUCAACUGUUUCUGCCUGCGGUUACGAAACCCCUACCUGUCCCAGACCUGCUGUUUUCAACUCUUAAUGAUUGGCUAUGAAAAGCCAACUGAGAUUUAUUCCUGAUUAUUAUUUGACCAUGCUUGUCAUUUAUGAACAUUUUGAAAAUCUUGGCUCUCUCUAAUUUUCUCCUUCUCUCUUUCUCUCGGAGGACCUGAGCCCUAGGACCAUACGUCGGGACUACCGGCCGUGGUGACUCCUUGCUGCCCCCAGUCCGCCUGGCCUUGCUGCUAUUCCAGUUUCAACUCUUCUGCCUGCGGUUAUGGAACCCCUACCUGUCCCAGACCUGCUGUUUUCAACUCUUAAUGAUCGGCUAUGAAAAGCCAACUGAGAUUUAUUCCUGAUUAUUAUUUGACCAUGCUUGUCAUUUAUGAACAUUUUGAAAAUCUUGGCUCUCUCUAAUUUUCUCCUUCUCUCUUUCUUUCUCUCGGAGGACCUGGGCCCUAGGACCAUGCGUCGGGACUGCCGCCCGUGGUGACUCCUUGCUGUCCCCAGUCCGCCUGGCCUUGCUGCUAUUCCAGUUUCAGCUGUUCUGCCUGCGGUUAUGGAACCGCCACCUGUCCCAGACCUGUUGUUUUUCAACUCUUAAUGAUCAGCUAUGAAAAGCCAACUGAAAAUUAUUCAUGAUUAUUAUUUGACCAUGCUUGUCACUUAUGAACAUUUUUGAACAUCUUGGCAUAGUUCUGUUAUAAUCUCCACCCGGCACAGCCAGAAGAGGACUGGCCACCCCUCAUAGCCUGGUUCCUCUCUAGGUUUCUUCCUAGGUUUUGGCCUUUCUAGGGAGUUUUUCCUAGCCACCGUGCUUCUACACCUGCAUUCUAGCUGUUUGGGGUUUUAGGCUGGGUUUCUGUACAGCACUUCGAGAUAUUAUCUGAUGUACGAAGGGCUAUAUAAAAUAAAAUUGAUUGAUUGAUUGAGAACAACAGCAAAGGACCUUGUGAAGACGCUGGAGGAAACAGGUACAAAAGUAUAUAUAUCCACAGUAAAACGAGUCCUAUAUCGACAUUACCUGAAAGGCCGCUCAGCAAGGAAGAAGCCACUGCUCCAAAACCGCCAUAAAAAAGCCAGACUAUGGUUUGCAACUGCACAUGGGGACAAAGCUCGUACUUUCUGGAAAAAUGUCCUCUGGUCUGAUGAAACAAAAAUAGAACUGUUUGGCCAUAAUGACCAUCAUUAUGUUUGGAGGAAAAAGGGGGCGGCUUGCAAGCCGAAGACACCAUCCCAACCGUGAAGCACGGGGGUGGCAGCAUCAUGUUGUGGCGGUGCUUUGCUGCAGGAGGGACUGGUGCACUUCACAAAAUAGAUGUCAUCAUGAGGAAGGACAAUUAUGUGGAUAUAUUGAAGCAACAUCUCAAGACAUCAGUCAGGAAGUUAAAGCUUGGUCGCAAAUGGGUCUUCCAAAUGGACAAUGACCCAAAGCAUACUUCCAAAGUUGUGGCAAAAUGGCUUAAGGACAACAAAGUCAAGGUAUUGGAGUGGCCAUCACAAAGCCCUGACCUCAACCAUAUAGAACAUUUGUGGGCAGAACUGUUAAAGCGUGUGCGAGCAAGGAUGCCUACAAACCUGACUGAGUUACACCAGCUCUGUCAGGAGGAAUGGGCCACAAUUCACCCAAUUUAUUGUGGGAAGCUUGUGGAAGGCUACCUGAAAUGUUUGACGCAAGUUAAACAAUUUAAAGGCAAUGCUACCAAAUACUAAUUGAGUGUAUGUAAACUUCUGAACCACUGGGAAUGUGAUGAAAGAAAUAAAAUCUGAAAUAAAUCA